GGCCUUUCAUCUGGCGCCAUUGUCCCCUAUAUUGCACCUGUCUUCGGACUAUGGCGAUAAACGCGCGUGUAAUAAGCGGCUCGGACCCGGGGGCGGUACCCGGCGACUCCACCACAAGCAGGCUCAGGCAUUCUUCGCCUGUUUCUGACGGGGUCGAAAUAGUAUCGACGGACGUGUAAAGACGAGGCCUUCACCGGAUUGAGCCCCCUUAGAAGCUCAAAUCAACAUAGUUGCAAAUGACAACCAUGCUGAAGGUCAACUGCUCGCAGCGUAGCUGUACGUAGUUAACCGCUUUAACUCCUAAGGAUUCAGCUCCUUAGGCGGGGCCCGGAGGCGCCUGGCAACAGAAGCCUCCACU
rnacentral:tmRNA from 1 species